GGGAAAAAGAUUUCUGCGCGGUAGCUCGCAGAUGGAGGUGAUGCGCCGGCAGCCCCCGGAGCAGAGGGCAGCGGGGCGGUGUGUGCCGCGGGAUGGGUGGCGACUGCCGGCCGUCCCUUCCCCGGGCGUGGGGCGAUCCCCGCGGGACCCACGCGCGACGGCGUGGGAGCUCCGCGGCCCGCCGGGUGCCCGAGAAGGGAGCGCCCCUUCCCCGCGGGCAACCCCGCACCCUUUCAUUGCCGGGAGACGUUCAAAUGAGGCUGAUUUCGCUCAGACACCGUAAGCACGGUCAGCCUACAGACGCUGCCCCCCCCCACCCCCAGCCCUUUCUGGUCCUCACGGGGCGAAGCCCCAGCCCUGGUCACGCUGCAGGUGGGGAAGUGCCGCUGCCCGGCCGUGGCGGCCCCGCAGCGGGUCCCGGUCCGACCUCGCGCUGCUUCGGGACCCCGGAGAUCGGCCGGGCGGUGGGAGCAUGGCGAGGCUCGGGCUCGGAGCUGAACGCAAUAGCCAUCAUCGCCAUUAAUAAAAAAGAUUCCGUUCUCUGAGUGACCGAACACGCAUAGGCACACCUAUGUGCCCGGAUCCCGCUUUAUCCCAGCGGAGAAGAAUUAAUACUAGGUGCGCUACUAUCGCAACCAAGCGUUUUAGCUAUAGUAUCGCUGUCAUAUUAGACGAAAUUAAAUUGCUUCUUAAAGGAGAGUUGGAGCUGCAGCGACAGGAUGCCUUUAUUUCUGGUUUAGCCAUCCAAGUCUUCUGCAUCAACUCCACCAUUCAAACCAACAACUGAAGCCACGCCAAAGGCUGAAGUGUCUUCUUGCGCCGUCCCUUUACGAGUUACUUUUCUCGACGCGACUCAGUUUCAAAGAGAAAAAUAAGAGAAUAAUUUUUCCUCGUCUUUCAGCCUCGAAAAUUUUAAAUUAAUUCCUACCAAUAAAUACACACCCGCGGCUGUGCGCCGAUGUAGGUGCCACUGUUGUCCCUCCGGACCCCGACACCACACCGAAACGUUCAUGUGCCUUUAUUCCCACCCCCGAUUUGGGUGAUGGAAGAGCUUUUAUCCUACCGAGACCCGUGGGGGGGUGUCGGGUCGGAGGGACCCGGACAGCGCUGCGGGGGCCUCGCGGUGCCCGGGAGGACAGUGGAGUCGGGGGGCAGCGCCGGCCCCACAGAACAACCGGGAUCACUGCCGGCCCCCUCGCUGUGUACGGUUCUCAGCGCCCACGCUCUGCGUGGGUGUGCAGCGAUCCCCAC
rnacentral:lncRNA from 1 species